UCUGAGGUGAGUCAUGUUCAGAAUUUAGGAAACACCUGGGCACCAAAGUCCCCUGAGAACCUGGGGAAAAGGCAGAUGUGCCUCAAAAUGCUUUGCCAAGAAUUCUAAUGAGAAACAGACUCUCUCUUGCUCCGUCCUUCACCUGCAGAUUUCUAAGCAGAGAUAUAGCUGCCACUUUUGCUAAGAAUCCAAAAAUGGGCCUGUUUGGAACCCAUCUUGCUUGUUUGCUCUGCUUCCUAUAACCUUCACCUGCUUGACCUGCCAUAAGAGAGCUGUUGCCAUCAGCGACUGAUUCAUGAACAGUGACCCAGGAUGCAGUUUACACCAUAUCUGACCCCAUCACCAAAAUGACCUAGAGAGGAGGAUAAAAUGUGUUCUUUUCAUGCUCCCAUGAGGAGCUGGGACUGAAGGACACAGUUCGAGAGAGAGGAGUCACAGUGGAAGUGGAAGUUGCAGAUAGGACCUCAAAGAUCAGAUGCAGGUGAUCAACCUGCAGUGAUCACCACAGGAGCUUGAAAAAUCUGCUGCUGGGAUUAAUCCAUGGAGAGUUUGAUGAAGAGGCCACUGCUGAAAUCCAGUUUGGAGGAUCCAGGAGAUUCCAGCGGGUGACUUACACAUGGACACUUAUCGGGAGGGCCGGAAGAUGGGUUCAGAGGAAAGUCAAAUCCAAACCUCUUUUA